CUCUUCAGUUCAAGCUAAGUAGCAGCAAUGGUAAGCAACACUCGAACGAAUCAUCAUUCGGCGUGUCUGUUUAUAUUUCAGUAAGGUUGUUUAAUUUGCUAAUAUCACAUGUUCUGAGAGAAGCACGUAGCUACGUGAAUGUUAGAAAACAGUUUGUUAUUUUGCUACCGGUACCUAACGUCAGCUAGGCUAACUAGUUAACUUCCGGCGGGACCUGUACUUUCUUGUGACCUAGUUGGUUAUAUAGUUAGCUGGUUAAGCUGGAAACUAUGUCUUUGUCAAUCUUGUGGUAAAGCUAAUGUUAAUCGUAAAGUUGUGCUUUUUCAAUUAAAUGCUUACCUACUCGUGCGAGACGUUUUAUUGUUAGCUGACUAUUCCAGUUUCCACGUGGCACUGCUCGCGGCCCUUAACGAUGCAGAUUCUUCACUUUUUUUGAUGAAUCUUUCAACAGAGGCAAAUAUUUGACCGACGGCCUCUAAGUUGUACAUUAUCAKUAACUUUUUUUAGUUGGAAUAUAUACUUUAUGUUAUGCUGGCUGUAAUGUUCCGUUUUGUACAACGUAAGCCUACAGCGCUGGCUAACGGUAGGCUUAACGUUACUGAGCAUACCGAACAGUUGAUUUUUUUUUAGGUAGACCUCAGGUCAUACGAUCAUCCCUACCCAACCAAUAUGGCUAAUGCAGCUCAGGUCAAUUAUGUUCUAGACGUGGAUGAUGAACAAAUGGAUAUACAGAAGGAUUGAAAUKUCAGUCUGCAGGAGCUUCAUAGGCUGGAAUGAGAAUGAACUAGUGGACGUUCUGAUUUGGAGGUGUACAACCUCUGAACAGACCAGUGGGAUUGAGAAUUAACCACUGGACAUUUUAAAGUUCUUGUGCCUAUUGGAGGUGCGAUGACCCCAUCAUCUUGGGAUUGAAUGGCUGGUAUGGCGGUACAGGUGUGCCUCAACACUGCAUUGAAAUGCCCCAAUCCAGGUUCUGAUGGGUAUGGCUGUCCAUAGUUCUUGCAACUGGCUCUCUGGGUGAUGUGAUCGGCACUGAUCAAUUCCACUUCCAUGGUGUGGCCCAAGUCCAGGGUUUUAAGGUCUUGGUACACCAACCAAGUUGGAUGAGGCCCCUUCUGUACACAAGUGUUUCUCUGGCUUGUCACUUAUUGCCUAUUGCGUGCAUCUGGACGUUGUUAGGAGACCUGUUACAGAAUGUGUGAAAUCAUUGGUKGUUCAAUUGUGUGGGAUGUUGUCUCAACCUGCAACAAAUGUCCUGCAUUUCAUCAAUAAAUAUAAUUAUCACAUUGA